rnacentral:rRNA from 1 species
CUAAUACCCAAUGAUAUCUCUAGAAGGCAUCUGAAAGAGAUUAAAGAUUUAUCGGUGAUGGAUGGGGAUGCGUCUGAUUAGCUUGUUGGCGGGGUAGCGGCCCACCAAGGCAACGAUCAGUAGGGGUUCUGAGAGGAAGGUCCCCCACAUUGGAACUGAGACACGGUCCAAACUCCUACGGGAGGCAGCAGUGAGGAAUAUUGGUCAAUGGACGAGAGUCUGAACCAGCCAAGUAGCGUGCAGGAAGACGGCCCUAUGGGUUGUAAACUGCUUUUAUAAGGGAAUAAAGUGAGUCUCGUGAGACUUUUUGCAUGUACCUUAUGAAUAAGGACCGGCUAAUUCCGUGCCAGCAGCCGCGGUAAUACGGAAGGUCCGGGCGUUAUCCGGAUUUAUUGGGUUUAAAGGGAGCGUAGGCCGGAGAUUAAGCGUGUUGUGAAAUGUAGAUGCUCAACAUCUGAACUGCAGCGCGAACUGGUUUCCUUGAGUACGCACAAAGUGGGCGGAAUUCGUGGUGUAGCGGUGAAAUGCUUAGAUAUCACGAAGAACUCCGAUUGCGAAGGCAGCUCACUGGAGCGCAACUGACGCUGAAGCUCGAAAGUGCGGGUAUCGAACAGGAUUAGAUACCCUGGUAGUCCGCACGGUAAAC